rnacentral:rRNA from 1 species
GAUGAACGCUAGCGGCAGGCUUAAUACAUGCAAGUCGUACGGGAUCCGAGGUAGCAAUACUUUGGUGAGAGUGGCGCACGGGUGCGUAACACGUAUGCAACCUACCUAUAACCGGGACACAACCUCGAGAAAUUGAGGCUAAUAUCCCAUAACACUGCGAGAUGGCAUCAUUUUGCAGUUAAAACUCCGGUGGUUAUAGAUGGGCAUGCGCGACAUUAGCUAGUUGGUGAGGUAACGGCCCACCAAGGCUACGAUGUCUAGGGGUUCUGAGAGGAUUAUCCCCCACACUGGUACUGAGACACGGACCAGACUCCUACGGGAGGCAGCAGUAAGGAAUAUUGGUCAAUGGGCGCAAGCCUGAACCAGCCAUGCCGCGUGAAGGAUGACGGCCCUAUGGGUUGUAAACUUCUUUUGUACGGGAAAAAACCUCUGGUCGAGCAUCAGAGCUGAUGGUACCGUAAGAAUAAGCAUCGGCUAACUCCGUG